rnacentral:rRNA from 1 species
GCAUAUCAAUAAGCGGAGGAAAAGAAACCAACAGGGAUUGCCUCAGUAACGGCGAGUGAAGCGGCAACAGCUCAAAUUUGAAAUCUGGCUGCCUGUGCAGUCCGAGUUGUAAUUUGAAGAGGAUGCUUUUGGCAAGGUGCCUUCCGAGUUCCCUGGAAUGGGACGCCAUAGAGGGUGAGAGCCCCGUAUGGUCGGUCGCCGAGCCUCUGUAAAGCUCCUUCGACGAGUCGAGUAGUUUGGGAAUGCUGCUCAAAAUGGGAGGUAAACCCCUUCUAAAGCUAAAUACUGGCCAGAGACCGAUAGCGCACAAGUAGAGUGAUCGAAAGAUGAAAAGCACUUUGAAAAGAGAGUUAAACAGCACGUGAAAUUGUUGAAAGGGAAGCGCUUGCGACCAGACUUGUGCUCGUCGAAUCAGCCGUCGCUCGUCGGCGGCGCAUUUCGGCGGGCUCAGGCCAGCAUCAGUUCGCUGUGGGGGAGAAAGGCGGUAGGAAUGUGGCUCCUCGGAGUGUUAUAGCCUACCGUAUAAUACCCCUCGGCGGACUGAGGACCGCGCAUCUGCAAGGAUGCUGGCGUAAUGGUUGUCAGCGACCCGUCUUGAAACACGGACCAAGGAGUCGUCCUAAUAUGCGAGUGUUCGGGUGUCAAACCCCUACGCGUAAUGAAAGUGAACGGAGGUGAGAGCUUCGGCGCAUCAUCGACCGAUCCUGAUGUUCUCGGAUGGAUUUGAGUAUGAGCAUAUUGGGCCGGACCCGAAAGAAGGUGAACUAUGCCUGUAUAGGGUAAAGCCAGAGGAAACUCUGGUGGAGGCUCGCAGCGGUUCUGACGUGCAAAUCGAUCGUCAAAUAUGGGCAUGGGGGCGAAAGACUAAUCGAACCUUCUAGUAGCUGGUUUCCGCC